AGGAAUUAGAAAACUUUUCUGAACUCACCCAGUCUUCUCUGAUGUUGGAAAGCUAAGCAGGAUCAGGCCUGGUUAGUACUUGGAUGGGGGAAACUUUUUGUCAGAGAGAACUGGUUCUUAUUCACA
rnacentral:rRNA from 1 species